rnacentral:lncRNA from 1 species
UUUCACUGAUAGUCCUUUAGCAAGCAGUGUGUGAAAUAAGGGUUCUGCCUGGGUUGUUUAGUGCUAUGAAUAUUUUUUUCUAAAAACUUGGAAUAAGUUUGAUUAAAACUAUUUUUUUCUGAGUCUUCUAUGACUAAGUACCUACGAGUGUGUUCAUUGAGAGGAAUAUUGAUGUUUUUUUUUCUUUUAAAUAUUUGAGUUGUAAUUUGAAAUUUAACCUAUUCAAUGUUGAAGACAUUGAGUUACUAAUUUUCACAAGGAACUUUUAAGAUACACUUCAAUACUAUGAAUUUUUGUGCGUGUGUGUGUGUGUGUGUGUGCGCGCGCGUGCGCGCGCAUGCAUGCUCUGAGGCAAGUAAGGCAGUUGGUGCUCUAAAACUUCAUAUUUUCUCACAUAUGAUUGAUGCCAUUCCACAGGAAGCCACUAUUUUUAAAAAAUCAUAUAUAAAAACCUCUUAAUCCAAAUAGCUUUGGACAAUAAUUUCCCUUUACUUGCCCAGGUUAAAAAUAGCUUUUCCUGCUUCCUGUGCUUGAGCAUCUGAGUGGAGGAUGAGCAGCUCGCCAUGUGACUCUAACUCUGUGGUUUCAUACACAGCAUCGUCCACGAAUCCUUCCACUUGCUGACAUUUUAAAUCAGGAGUCUGAUACUACGCAGCUGGCUCUCUAAGCAGCUCCACAAACAUAGGACUUGAGAAAAGUUGGUGUCUCCCUGAAAAAGAAUCUAACAGCAUCAUUGCUCGAAUACACUUUAAUAGGAAAAUACUUCAUUAUUUGGAAUACAAAUAACUGACAAGGUACAAGUCCUUUGGGAACAACCCAGUUCAAGUGGCAAAUCUGUUUUGUCAAACAAUAGACACCCUUCAGAAAGGAGAAGCCAUCUCUAUGGUAAUAGGACUAACAGUAGCCUAUUGAUUGAGUGGAAGAAGACAUCAUACAAUGUCAGCUGGCUUGUUACAAUUUCAUUUGUUGUAUGACCUGAACUUAACCUCAGAAGCCUUUCUUCUGCGAGCAUAAACCUGGCAGCAGGAGAGGUUCUGUGCAGCCACGACAGUCCUGACACACAGUACAUAUGUCCUUUACAGGCUCCCUCCUCCCCAGAAGCUGUUAGGGGACAUUUCACUACUUUACUCAUUUACAGACAGAAUCCUCUUUCCGUUUCCUUGGUGAAUAUUGAAGGGUUUUGAUCCAGGAAGCAGUUUGCCUCUUUCUUCCCCCCAGUACUUAGGAGAGAAUUUCUCUACGUGUGAGUUUGUGCUGACUGGUGUGCAGUAAAUUAAUUCUUUUAACAGGUUUAGGUUUUUUUUUUUUUUCAGGUAAUUGUUCACGUAGCAUUCACUAUAUUUAGCUCUUGGGGUGGACAGAAAGACCUUCUGUACCUUUUAAACAAAGAGUGUGUUUCAAAAGCAAAUUUCUGUUUAAAUGUGUUGAUGUAAAAGGCUCCAUUUUUUUUUUCAGUAAACAUGGCUUAGCUUGAAAGAACAAUUUAUUCGUUGUUUCCAAUUACUAUGUAAUCUUUGCUUUUUUUGCAUCCUUCUUUUGCCUUUAAAAGCCCUAAGAUAUCAUUAACACUUCACUUUUUGUCAGUCUUGCUAACGGCUGGCAGGACCUCAUUUGUACUGAUUUGCUCUGAUGUUGAAGCACAUGAGUAAAAUAGCACACUAAAGUAGUGCAUGGGAUUAGAAAUGGUAACAGUGUGGCAACUCUGUGAGCAGCGUGCCCUUUGGGGCAUGCUAAAGUGGGCAUUUUGUUAGAGGGACUUAAUCUUUCAUUUUAAUGAACUAAUACGCAGUUCAUCCUUAUAUCUUUAUAUUAACACUAUGUAAUUAAGUUAGUGUUUUAAAAGAACAGGGAUUUUUCUUUUAAGCCCACCGAGGUAAAUCAUUUUUAAAUGUGGUGGAAUGUAAUUUAAAGUAUCCUAUUUGUAAUUCAUAGAUGCUAUAUGUGACUUUUUUAAAGUUAUAAUAAUUUAAUCACAAAUAUGAAUGCCACCUAACUUUACUUACUAUUUGAAUUUCAAAGUUAUUUGCCAGGAAACAUCAAACUAAUGCUAUGUAGUGAACCAGGAAGAGGGCUAAGGCCAUCAUCGUCCAGCGUCUAUGACAAAUACAUUUCCUAUAUGCUGCUCUCUAUCGUUUAAAGAGAAGGAAGCACACAGACAGUGGUGUGCAAACAUGCUGUACCUCCGGAAGCUUUAGCUGUUUAUAGUCUCCUGUCAGAGAACUUCUGUCAUUUGUGUGGGGAGGUAAAAGGUAAGAAACAGAUUCUCAGUAGCCUUGUAAGUCAGCCAAUGAAGAUGAUAGCGAUGGUGGUGGUGGUGAUGAUGAUGGUGGUGGUGGUUUCCAACUGUUAGUAGCCAGAUGGAACUGCAGACAAAUGCCUGCCCUGGUGGUUAUAGAGCACCCAGUGAGAAAUGAAAGUAAAAUACUUCUAGUUUUUUAUAACAACAUUCUAAGAUAAACCAUCCAUUAAAUCAGCAUACUUUCAGACAUUCUAUAAAAGUCCCUGUUCUGGAAAUUU